GACGAACGCUGGCGGCGUGCUUAACACAUGCAAGUCGAACGGAAAGGCCCUGCUUUUGUGGGGUGCUCGAGUGGCGAACGGGUGAGUAACACGUGAGUAACCUGCCCUUGACUUUGGGAUAACUUCAGGAAACUGGGGCUAAUACCGGAUAGGAGCUCCUGCUGCAUGGUGGGGGUUGGAAAGUUUCGGCGGUUGGGGAUGGACUCGCGGCUUAUCAGCUUGUGGGUGGGGUAGUGGCUUACCAAGGCUUUGACGGGUAGCCGGCCUGAGAGGGUGACCGGCCACAUUGGGACUGAGAUACGGCCCAGACUCCUACGGGAGGCAGCAGUGGGGAAAAUUGCACAAUGGGCGGAAGCCUGAUGCAGCAACGCCGCGUGCGGGAUGACGGCCUUCGGGUUGUAAACCGCUUUCGCCUGUGACGAAGCGUGAGUGACGGUAAUGGGUAAAGAAGCACCGGCUAACUACGUG
rnacentral:rRNA from 1 species